rnacentral:rRNA from 1 species
UACGGAGGGUGCAAGCGUUGUCCGGAAUCACUGGGCGUAAAGGGCGCGUAGGCGGCUCGGUAAGUAGGGGGUGAAAUCCUGCGGCUUAACCGCAGGGCUGCCUUCUAAACUGUCGAGCUCGAGCACGGUAGAGGCAGAUGGAAUUCCCGGUGUAGCGGUGGAAUGCGUAGAGAUCGGGAGGAACACCGAUUGCGAAGGCAGCUCGCUGGAACGUUACUGACGCUGAGACGCGAAAGCGUGGGGAGCAAACAGG